GAUGAACGACAAGAACAGCUGAAGGUCGUCACAAUAGAGAAGGAGGUCGUCACAAUAGAGAGGGAUGGACUACAAGGAGACCUGAAGAAGGUCACAAGAGAGAAGGGUGA